rnacentral:tRNA from 2 species
GGAGAGAUGGCCGAGCCGGCUGAAGGCGCUCGCCUGCUAAGCGAGUGUGUGGGGAAACUUGCACCGAGGGUUCGAAUCCCUCUCUCUCCGCCA